rnacentral:rRNA from 1 species
GAUGAACGCUGGCGGCGUGCCUAAUACAUGCAAGUCGAGCGAACAGAUGAGAAGCUUGCUUCUCUGAUGUUAGCGGCGGACGGGUGAGUAACACGUGGGUAACCUACCUAUAAGACUGGGAUAACUCCGGGAAACCGGGGCUAAUACCGGAUAAUAUUUUGAACCGCAUGGUUCAAUAGUGAAAGACGGUUUCGGCUGUCACUUAUAGAUGGACCCGCGCCGUAUUAGCUAGUUGGUAAGGUAACGGCUUACCAAGGCGACGAUACGUAGCCGACCUGGGAGGGUGAUCAGCCACACUGGAACUGAGACACGGUCCAGACUCCUACGGGAGGCAGCAGUAGGGAAGCUUCCGCAAUGGGCGAAAGCCUGACGGAGCAACGCCGCGUGAGUGAUGAAGGUCUUCGGAUCGUAAAACUCUGUUGUUAGGGAAGAACAAAUUUGUUAGUAACUGAACAAGUCUUGACGGUACCUAACCAGAAAGCCACGGCUAACUACGUGCCAGCCGCCGCCGUAA